GUCUCCGAUUUUUGGCGAACCCCGAAUUCCCCCCCGGGGCCCCGCGGUCCCUUCCCUGAUUUCGGCGCCUCCCGAGGCCCGUGGCUCGGGGGGGCGGUCGCGACUGGGGCUCGGAGGCUGACCCCCCCCGGGUUUGGGGGCGCUGCCCCGCGGUGCCGGGGUGGCCCCUGCAGCCGCCGGAGGAGGAAGAGACCCAGAGAUUGUCUGCUGGCAACAAAGAAGUUGGAAAAUGACAGCUGUGGCCACCCACCGAAGGCCUGGAUAUAAUGGGGAGUGAGAGCAAAGCCUCUGUACUUUCUGCUCCAUUGAGGAACCCGAAGGGAGAAAGCUAGAGCAGUGGGAAGAGCCCGAGAGAAAUGCCGGCUGGCUGAGGGAUCCUUGCGUCCCCUCUGGAAUAAAUCCUCGGAGCUGCUGCUUUGCAGUCCAGUUUGGACACAUUUUGCUGCCGCUUUGGUUCUGAAGAAGCGGAAAUCCGUGGAUUUCUGGAUGAUUUCCGUAGCUUCCCCUAUUUUGGAGGAGCUGCAGGGUGAGGGAGCUGGCAAAAAAGGAGAGAGCCGCUAGGAAGCAAAGAAGCCGCCCGAAGGCCUUAUCCCAGCCCAGGGUUCCCACUUUUCUCUCUGACUCCUGAAUAAUUGCUUGAGCGUAACCAGGGAGCGUCCGUUUGAUUUCCUGCCUUUUCCAAUAAAUCCUUGCCUUCAGCUGGAGCGCGUUCCUGGUGUCCUUCUCCUCCUCCUGCUGCAUGGAUAUGUAAAUAAA